ensembl:lncRNA
CUUAAAUGCCUUCCGCUUCUCUAGGGUAUUCCCAAGUACAAUGAUAGGACUGGUACAAGGCAUUUGUCAUGCGAAUGCAUCUUGGCCAGAUGUUUAUGUUUCUUCUAAGUGCAGCACACGCAUAUCAAAGCUAGAUUAGAAAAGAGUACGUCUUUUCUAAUGCUAUACAACUCAGGCAUAUUCAGAGAACUGCAUCGAUAUGUUUCAUAUUCCUAGCAUGUUUUCUCUUCAGAAGAUGCUGUAAAUGUGAGUCACAUCAGACCUGUUAGAGGCAGGUCAGUAUUAUAGCCAUUUUAGAAACAGGAAAUCAAAAGCCUGGGAAGAAAUGUGAUGUUUAGCAGUUUGGCGCCCCUCACAACUUCCAGUAGCUGCAAGUAGAGCCUCCUGUUUUCAGCGCUUUCCAACACCCAAACUGCAGCUGGUUUGUCCCAGUCUGCAGUGGCUGUAAAGGUGAAAGCCAGGAUGAGGACACUCGAGAUCCUGCCUUCGUGAGAACGCUGCUACAAAGCUUUGAUCCCACAAAGCACGUAAGCACUUGCCUAAUUUCAAGCAUGAAUGUCCCAUUAACGAUGUUAUCACCAUGCUUAAAGCUAGGCACAUGCCUAAUUGCUUUGCUAGACUGGGAAUUAUAUUAAAAUAUACUAAACUUUAGGCUAUUUUGAAAAUCCAGAAAUGUGUUCAUUUCUGAUUAUGCUUCAGGCAUUGUCAAGGACAUCUGAAGUAUGAAUGAAGUAGCUCAGCCAAGAGGAGCACUUUUUAGCCAAUAAAGAAAGAGUUUAAUGAGUUUGGGAUGUUAACAUCCUGUUGUCAUGAGUAAUCGAGGCUGGGAUGUACUGCAAGGGUUUUACUUCUGCACUGCUGCAAGGAGCAAAGUGGCUCCUGUAGCCAUUGGUGCUAACAAAAAAUAACAAUGAAUGACUACUGCCUUAGGUCAUUCUAGGGUGGCGUGAAUGUGUUGGCUAAUUUCACAAGUGAUGCUCCAUCAUAUCAAAUGUACUGUACUUUCCAUCGCUUCCUGUAAAUUACCGCAGAAGAGGUGAACAGAAGUUGUUAAAAUACGACACAAACCCAAACUUCUUGCCCCGUUAUAAUCCAAGGUGCUAAUCUGCAGACACACGGGCAUUUGGGUACGUGCAUUCGUGUUUGCAGGACCAUGGCCCUGAAGGAUCAUUUUCAUGUCAGGGUUGAGAUCAGGGAACUCACAUGGGGAACUGAGAAACCCCUGUGACUUUGAAAUGGCAAAAGUUGCAGAAAGCAUCACAGGAUUUUGUCCCCAAACUGGCUACAUCUAACAGUUUUCCUUUUGAUUUUUUCCUUGGUUCGUUUUGUUUCUAUCCAAAUUGGCAAAGAACACUGUAUUUCCAUCAAUUACGGUCCUGCCUGGUAGCUAACUAAACAACCUGUUCAUGGAAAACUAAGAAAUAAAUAAGUAAACUGUCAAUUGUGGAAUGUAAACUGAUUAAACAAAUAAAGAACUCAUGUUGUGUGUUUUAAGAGACCGUCUGCUUGUGUCAGGAGUGGGGACAGGCACCUCACACCUCACUGCCCCAGCUGAAGGAUGGAGGGAAAAGAGGAGCUGGGGGCCCACCAUUUUCUAGCUGAUAGCUCUUCCUGAGGUGAAUGGGUUUUGCAUUUUGUAGGAUGGAAUCCUUCUCGCCACCAAGGAGGUCCUGUCUCAGGUAUUGGUUGCAACAAGGAACAGAAUGGAGCAUGAACGAAGGAGACAGCACUUGCCACCUGCCUGCUCCUUGCCAGGAGCUGCUGCCUGUCAAGAAGAAAACGACGGCUUCCCAGUCCUAAGCAAGACCAUCCAGGAUGUCACCCAGAAGCAGGGGAUGAGCCCAGGAGAUGCUGGAUCACUGUCAGAGAGCUCAACUUGGUUGCGUUUCCAGCAUCCCCCAGGGCCUGCGCAGGGACUGGUGUGUGCCAUGAGAUUCCAGCAACGUCAUCCCUGCUGAGAGGUCUCCCCGCUCCCACAGGAAGGAUGUGACCAUUUCUGGUGCUCGCCGCACCUUUAUGUGGUGAUGGAGUCAUGUCAAAUAGCCAGGCUCUAGAAGAGAACCUUGUGAUUGAAACAAGGUUUUCUUGAACUAUUUAAAUCUUUCUCAGGAAAUAAUGCAUGAGAACAAUCUGUUUCAGAAUUAUCCAUCACUCAGUGUGAGAUUCCCGUGCAAUUUCACUGCUACAUUGCCUAUAUAUUUUUUUUUGUCUGUUUGUUUAAUGAGUGUUGCAGUUGUAGUAAUGAGAUUACUGGUAAUACCAAACAGAUUUUCGGAAUGAUGAGAAGAUAAUUAGACGAUAUCUUGAGGGUGAUUUCUGUUUAAGACACAGUAACUAUGUCACGGAGUAAAUAAAUGUGGAGAAGGAAGAUAACAGUGCUUAUUAGCCUAAGAUACAAUGAUUUCCAAAUUACCAGGAAAUACAUUUCAUUGUGGUGAACGACAUGGUGACUGAUGCUUGGCCCAAGCUGGCCCAUCUGUUGUGAGGCAGGACUCAGCUAGGCUCAGAGGAACUCGAUGAUCUCCAGAGGUCCCACCCAACCUCUACAGUUCUGUGAUUCUGGCGACCUGAUGUUUGCUGCAGCCACAAUGCCAGCUUCAGCAUAGACUGUGAGGUUUUGACAAGCCCAAGUGAUUGAGCUGCACACCCAGAAGGGCAGCUUCUGGGCUCUGCCGGCUUCCAAGGGCUCUGCUUGUCCAGCUCCCGUCACCUGUGAGUGACCAGCAACAAAAGCCUGACAGCACAGCAGUGACAGGGAUGCUCACUACAAGAUCAGAGAUUGAAGACCCCACUUUCCUUUCUAAAUCAAUCCUUAGUGAUACUUCAGGAUUACAGUAAGGAACCUGCUGCUGCUGCAUGGAUCCGUGCCUCCAAAUGGGGACAAGCGGCCACAUAGCCUUGAACCCACAGACUUCAGUGGAUGCCCGCCCCUCCUGGGGACACAUCAGACACAUCCUCCACUUCCUCUCUGCUCUCCUGGAUUUGAAGAAGACCACGUAGCUCACCGUGUGCCAGAGGCGGCCAUCUCAAGUGAAUAUGCAGCUGCUGGUGUCCCACUGCUCUCAUAAAGUGCUGGCAACCCCCAUACAUCCACAUAAACAGAUGCACAGCUCUGGAACGCAUCCUCUGCCAGCCAAAUGGAGCACCGAAAUCAGCCACGUAUGCACGGUGAGUCUCAGCAGCUGCAGCAGUGCCUUUAAGGGCUCGUGAAAGAUUUCUCUGGGUUUUUGGUUGGGACUUUUCAGUCCCUGCAGGUCUUCCACACAUCCAUUUUGAUUGUAAGCAAUAACGAGGUUUUCCACAUAACGUUUAUUUCUGGCAACGCACUCACUUCUAUGUAACUAUUAGAGGACUAAG